AUUUUAGUAGCUAAUUUAUAGCAUGAUAUUGAAGUUAUCAAGUAGACUCUGUCCUAAAAUA
rnacentral:tRNA from 1 species